rnacentral:rRNA from 1 species
UACGUAGGUGGCAAGCGUUGUCCGGAAUUAUUGGGCGUAAAGCGCGCGCAGGUGGUUUCUUAAGUCUGAUGUGAAAGCCCACGGCUCAACCGUGGAGGGUCAUUGGAAACUGGGGAACUUGAGUGCAGAAGAGGAAAGUGGAAUUCCAAGUGUAGCGGUGAAAUGCGUAGAGAUUUGGAGGAACACCAGUGGCGAAGGCGACUUUCUGGUCUGUAACUGACUCUGAGGCGCGAAAGCGUGGGGAGCGAACAGG